rnacentral:rRNA from 1 species
UGGUGCAUGGUUGUCGUCAGCUCGUGUCGUGAGAUGUUGGGUUAAGUCCGCAACGAGCGCAACCCUAUUGUUAGUUGCCAUCAUUCAGUUGGGGACUCUAGCGAGACUGCCGGUAAUAAACCGGAGGAAGGUGGGGAUGACGUCAAAUCAUCAUGCCCCUUAUGACCUGGGCUACACACGUGCUACAAUGGUUGGUACAACGAGUCGCGAGUCGGUGACGGCGAGCUAAUCUCUUAAAGCCAAUCUCAGUUCGGAUUGUAGGCUGCAACUCGCCUACAUGAAGUCGGAAUCGCUAGUAAUCGCGGAUCAGCACGCCGCGGUGAAUACGUUCCCGGGCCUU